GACGAACGCUGGCGGCGCGCCUAACACAUGCAAGUCGAACGGAGCUUAGAGAGCUUGCUUUUUAAGCUUAGUGGCGAACGGGUGAGUAACGCGUGAGUAACCUGCCCUAGAGUGGGGGACAACAGUUGGAAACGACUGCUAAUACCGCAUAAGCCCACGGUACCGCAUGGUACUGAGGGAAAAGGAUUUAUUCGCUUUAGGAUGGACUCGCGUCCAAUUAGCUAGUUGGUGAGGUAAUGGCCCACCAAGGCGACGAUUGGUAGCCGGACUGAGAGGUUGAACGGCCACAUUGGGACUGAGACACGGCCCAGACUCCUACGGGAGGCAGCAGUGGGGGAUAUUGCACAAUGGGGGAAACCCUGAUGCAGCGACGCCGCGUGGAGGAAGAAGGUCUUCGGAUUGUAAAACUCUAUCAGCAGGGAAGAUAAUGACGGUACCUGACUAAGAAGCACCGGCUAAAUACGUG
rnacentral:rRNA from 1 species